GUUGUAUGAUUCCGAGAUCAUGAAUUAUAUUUAUCUUGUUUUAUUUGGUAGGUGGGAAAUCGAGCAAAAUAGAGUUACAUGUAUUUAUAUAUAUAUAUAUAUAUAAAUUUUGCACGCGACUGUCUCAGGAAUGUGACAUAGUGUGACACUUAUGUGCCAGCUCAAAGCCAGUUAUUUUGCGUAGAGAUGAUAGAGCAUGCACGAACUGAAGGAAAACAGCAAUAGGAAAUUAGGAAAAUAAGCACACGGGUCGCGGAGAAGUCUCGCGCCGCUGAAGGACUCCCACGUGACUGAGCUGAGCAGCUCGAGCUACAUCCGCCGCUCGCUUCCACAGACAGGACGGAGCGGAACCGAGCCGAGACUCGUCUGAAGACAUUUCUCUUCACCUGAAUAAUUCUUUCCAGCACAAGUCCCCAGCCUCUCACACCAUGGAGGGCUAUGGGCUGUCGGAAGAGGAGCUCUUCGCCUCGUCUCUGCACAACUUCACCUGGGAGACUGCGUUUGAGCAGAUAAGCGGCGUUACAGAGCUAUUAUAACGUGAUCUAUUUCAGGAUAAUCAGGCAGCUUACAAUGUACCUAAGCUGCUGAGAGCAAUCAG
ensembl:lncRNA